CACAGACCGAUCUGUCCCCACUCUCCGCGUCCUCAUACUGAACCACCUGAGACUGGAGCGGAUCUGGCUGGGGGAGAAUAAGUUCAGUCCGACCGGGGAGAAGGAACUGAGGUCGCUGCAGGAACCCAGACCCGGACUGAGAGUGGACGUGUGAACAUCUCAGGGUGUAAAGGUCACCGCCCUGGGGACGGGAAUAUUGUUGGCCAAUUCUCCACACUCCCCUUUAAACGGCCGCCCUCCCCUUUAAACCCCAACGCUUCCCGGGCCGGCCGGGCUGUGAGGUCAGAGGCGACCCUGCCCGCUGUCACGUGAGCCGGGUACGAGGCGCUGCCGCUGAUGCCGGAUAUCCAUUGCUGCCCUCCAGUGGGGGACAGGGGAACUGCACGAUCCCGGAUGUGACUUUAUCAGCUCCUGCUGUGGAUUGAUGGUGACAACAACAGCAACAUUGUUCAAACUGUUCAUUCACACAGCAAUGUCUGUUACUGCUUUAUCAUUUGUAAAUCAAAUGUAAAUAGUUAAUGAUAGUAAAAAAAAUUGAAAGUUAGUGGAUGUCUAGAUGACUAAUAUUUGCAGAACUCAAUAAACACUUGUCAAUUCCA